rnacentral:rRNA from 1 species
AACGAACGCUGGCGGCAUGCCUAACACAUGCAAGUCGAACGAGACCUUCGGGUCUAGUGGCGCACGGGUGCGUAACGCGUGGGAACCUGCCCUUAGGUUCGGAAUAACUCCCCGAAAGGGGUGCUAAUACCGGAUAAUGUCUUCGGACCAAAGAUUUAUCGCCUUUGGAUGGGCCCGCGUUGGAUUAGCUAGUUGGUAGGGUAAAAGCCUACCAAGGCGACGAUCCAUAGCUGGUCUGAGAGGAUGAUUAGCCACACUGGGACUGAGACACGGCCCAGACUCCUACGGGAGGCAGCAGUGGGGAAUAUUGGACAAUGGGCGAAAGCCUGAUCCAGCAAUGCCGCGUGAGUGAUGAAGGCCUUAGGGUUGUAAAGCUCUUUUACCCGGGAUGAUAAUGACAGUACCGGGAGAAUAAGCGCCGGCUAACUCCGUG